UCUCAUCUGGACCCCGCUGGGGAGGGCUUCUGAGCUCCUCAGCACUGGCAGGAGGGGCUCCAGGGGCCCUCCCUCCAUGGCAGCCAGGACAGGACUCUCA
ensembl:miRNA MIR612 microRNA 612